GGCCAUACCACCCUGAACGCGCCCGAUCUCGUCUGAUCUCGGAAGCUAAGCAGGGUCGGGCCUGGUUAGUACUUGGAUGGGAGAAUAUAACUUCUGGGUGAUAAUUUCA
rnacentral:rRNA from 1 species